UACGAAGGGGGCUAGCGUUGCUCGGAAUUACUGGGCGUAAAGGGAGCGUAGGCGGAUAGUUUAGUCAGAGGUGAAAGCCCAGGGCUCAACCUUGGAAUUGCCUUUGAUACUGGCUAUCUUGAGUACGGGAGAGGUGUGUGGAACUCCGAGUGUAGAGGUGAAAUUCGUAGAUAUUCGGAAGAACACCAGUGGCGAAGGCGACACACUGGCCCGUUACUGACGCUGAGGCUCGAAAGCGUGGGGAGCAAACAGG
rnacentral:rRNA from 1 species